UAAUCUUGUGCCUUAGGAUUUUUCAGCCAUGCAUCAGUUAACUUCAUCUUCUCAACUUGAUGAAUAAAUUCAGAGUUAUUUCUACUGUUGGCAAUAUUCCUCCAGAGUAUCAGAAGUUCACCUCGAUUUUCUUUAAUAUUCAGAUUUCCCUGUUUAUUAGUCCAUCUUAACCAUGCCUGUUCUCGAUGGAAAUCACAUAUAUUUUGAGUCUUCACAUUGGACAAAAAAUGAAGCAACAACAGAAUAGUUAACGUUGGUUUUUACAACAAGGAGGAAUAAUGGAAGUGCAUAUUUUGUAGUUUUGUAUGUUGCGUCAAGAAAACAUACAUUACCAUAUCGAUUGAGGUAAAACGCUCGUGACAAAAUUGAUGGUUUUAAAUUCGAACGUUCAACAAAAUCUUUCAACAUCGACUCAACAAUUUUUACAUUUGAAAAUCCAUUAUUUACCAAUCUUGAUAUUUCGUUAUAAACAGAUUUAUCUAUUGGGAGAUUUAAAAGAGAAGUUUCAAUUACGUGGUUGUGUACUGACGAUUCAACGCCAAUUUAAAAAACUUAUAUUACCUGUUUUUUAAGCCUCCAUUUAGUCAGUGAACACUCUGUUAUUACAUAUUCUGGGAAAUACA